UGAGUGGCGACGGGUGAGUAACGCGUGGGCAACCUGCCCUGUACAGGGGGACAACACUUAGAAAUAGGUGCUAAUACCGCAUAACGGGGGGAGCCGCAUGGCACCCCCUGAAAACUCCGGUGGUACAGGAUGGGCCCGCGUCUGAUUAGCUGGUUGGCAGGGUAACGGCCUACCAAGGCGACGAUCAGUAGCCGGCCUGAGAGGGCGGACGGCCACACUGGGACUGAGACACGGCCCAGACUCCUACGGGAGGCAGCAG
rnacentral:rRNA from 1 species